rnacentral:rRNA from 1 species
UACAGAGGUCUCAAGCGUUGUUCGGAUUCAUUGGGCGUAAAGGGUGUGUAGGUGGCGCCGUAAGUCAGGUGUGAAAUCUCGGGGCUUAACUCCGAAACUGCAUUUGAUACUGCGGUGCUUGAGGACUGGAGAGGAGACUGGAAUUUAUGGUGUAGCAGUGAAAUGCGUAGAUAUCAUAAGGAAGACCAGUGGCGAAGGCAGGUCUCUGGGCCACUACUGACGCUGAGAAGCGAAAGCAUGGGGAGCGAACAGG